AUUGAACGCUGGCGGCAUGCUUUACACAUGCAAGUCGAACGGUAACAGGCCGCAAGGUGCUGACGAGUGGCGAACGGGUGAGUAAUGCAUCGGAACGUGCCCAGUCGUGGGGGAUAACGCAGCGAAAGCUGUGCUAAUACCGCAUACGAUCUAUGGAUGAAAGCGGGGGACCGUAAGGCCUCGCGCGAUUGGAGCGGCCGAUGUCAGAUUAGGUAGUUGGUGGGGUAAAGGCCCACCAAGCCAACGAUCUGUAGCUGGUCUGAGAGGACGACCAGCCACACUGGGACUGAGACACGGCCCAGACUCCUACGGGAGGCAGCAGUGGGGAAUUUUGGACAAUGGGCGCAAGCCUGAUCCAGCAAUGCCGCGUGCAGGAAGAAGGCCUUCGGGUUGUAAACUGCUUUUGUACGGAGCGAAAAGGCUCCCUCUAAUACAGGGGGCUCAUGACGGUACCGUAAGAAUAAGCACCGGCUAACUACGUGCCAGCCGCCGCCGUAAUAC
rnacentral:rRNA from 1 species